rnacentral:lncRNA from 1 species
UUGCUUUGUAGAUAUUUACGGAUGUACCACCCUUCACUUUUUUCUUUUUUUCUGAAAGAAAGUUUAACGAAACAAACUACAAAACAAAAUAUCUAGAAAUACCUCAUCCCAGCAGAUCUAAAUGGAACAUUGGAUAGAAAGGCAGAGGUAAGCAGUAAAACCACACCGAAGGUGAAGCGGUUGUCAAUCCCAGAGAGGCAAGACGAUCUGCUACAAAAUUUUUUUCUCUAUAAACAUGUCGAAAGUAACAUGCUUGGAAAUAAGAAAAUAGCCGCAAUAUAUCCUGAAUGAGAGGUGGAAAACACCAAGGUGUAGUAGCCUUUCUAUGAAGACAAUCGAUUAGAAGCAUGGAGUCCCCUUCAACGAGCACAGGCGAGAAUCUUUGCAACCACAUAAUGUGUAAUGCUUCCUUGAGCACCAUGGUUUUAGCGAGCAACACUGAAGUAUCACUAGUAUUUCUAGCAGCUGCCGUCAACGGAUUACCAUUCGCAUCCCGAAAAACAAACCCAAUAGUAACUUGGUUAGCUUGCACAGAAGCAUCAAAAUUUAUUUUAAUGAAACCUUCAUCAGGGGGUGCUAUUUUAUUAUAUAAAUCCUUGAAGACUUUGGACGAUGAUAUGUUACAUUCGCAGCUAAAUAAUUGUUAAGAAAAGAAGUAGCAUGAAAAUAACAUUACGAACUAGAAGCUUGAAUUUGACAAAAGAUGACAUGUAUAUGCCAGAUUGACCAUAAGCAUGAAGGUCAGUUGAAUGCGGGAAGUAUUAGAAUGAGAAAAUAAAACUUUCAGCCAAUCUAAAAGAGAUUGCUUAGAAGGCGGUCUAAUUUAAAUGGGAUACACACUUUGAGCAAAAUUACAUUUAAAGUGUCCAAGUGUGAAUAUUUCACAUCCCACAAACAAUUUUCGAAAAAUUGAGGCUUUGAGGAAAAAAAAUCUGAUAUAUUUUCCAAAAAUACAAGCAUCACACAGUAAUUUUGGGUUUUGGCCGAUAACCGAAGUGUAAUUAACAUAACACUGCGAGUUUCAAACAAAAGGUGAACUAGUGGGAAUGCCGUGAAGAACAAAACUCUCGCAAACUUGAAAGACUCACAAAGCCGAGAUGGAGAGCAAAGUGUUGGUCCAAUACAACCACACUGAUCCCUGCGCAUUUGCUCGCUGGACUACCAAGUAUCUACCCUCCCAUCUCUCUUUUUUACUUUCCUCCCUCUAAGAUUCUUCCACUGUAAAUUAACAUGGACCCUUUUUUGCAGGGAAAGCUUCCAGUUCAUGUCAGCCAGGCCGUGGCAACAAGUCAUCGACUUCUACUCCGAUGUGGUAAAAGGUCAGAAGCCCUUGUCUGCGUUGUUGGGUACUUCUAGUUUGAGCAAAAACAGAAUUUGCAAUAGUAUAGAGAGUGUGAAUUCUCAAAAUAGAGGUGGGAGGUGGGCAAGAUUGACUUUCAAGAUUGUGGUGUCGUAUCAUGGUGGUUCUUUUGAUGGGUGGCAAAAGCAGCCGGAGCUCUACACUGUCCAAAGGUGCUAGCUUUGGUAAAGUUUCAUUUUGUUUUGUGGAUUUGGGAGGUACCCAAGUUGAGUUUGGAUGUGGGUUUUGUUGUUGAGUGUGAAUUGUAAGGAGUUUGGGUUUUGGUGUUUAUUUUGUGUUGUUUUGUGGAACAGUGUUGUUGAACAAUGUCUUGGGAGAUUUGUGGAUGAGAAGAAAGCCCAGAUGCUGAAGGAGAAAGGGUUGCCUUUGGAAGGGGCUGCAACUGUUGCUGGGCGGACCGAUAAAGGAGUGACAGCCCUUAAUCAAGUUUGUUCUUUCUGUAUGUUAAACCUCAUUGCUUGUUUAACUUACAUUGUUCAGAUUUAAGUUUCAUUAUUUUUAGUACGAAUGAGAAACAGUUGCUAGCUAUCUUGUUGUUAUAUGGAGCUGGUAUAUACUUAAUAUUGAUAUAGGCUUGGGUAUGCCAGAAUGUUAACGCAGGUAGAGGGUAUAGAUUGUGCUAUAGUCAUUCACAAGGUUAAUCAGGAGUCAUCCAUUGACCAAUUAUUUGUCUAGUAAUGGCCAAAUAGGUCCAUUUCAAUCUGAUAAUUUAUUGAACAUACCCAUAUUUCUGGUUCAAGUUCUUAUCAUGUGCUCAUACUGUCUAUUCUAUUUUCUUUGAAAGUGGCAUUGUUGGGUAAUGGCUUUCAUUUUGCCUAUUAUCAUUUCAGAUUUUGGAGGUUUUUUAAUGUUGCUCCCUUUUGACAUUUUAGAUACUUGGAGCAAGGAUGUUAGAUGUCAAGAUAUUGCAGAUGCUAUAGAUAAUGCAGCACCAGGAAAACUCAGGACAGUAUCAGUUACUGAGGUACUGUUUUACUCUGGUUUACUACGGUUUGUGCUCUGUAUGAAUUAAAAUCCACUAAUCAUCUUGCUUAAAUCCUUUUAGUAUGUGAAUAUGGACUCUGGAGACCUAUCUGCUUUUAUCUUCUGCUAUUCCUUUUAUUUUUGCUGACAGCUAAUCUAUCUUAAUAUAGGUAUCACGUGUGUUCCAUCCAAAUUUUUCUGCCAAAUGGAGGCGGUAUUUGUAUAUCUUUCCAUUUAAUGAUGAUGAGGAGGAUCGGGAACAAAGUAAUGAUACUGGAGAGAAUGCUCAAAUAUUGAAGAUUAAAGAAAAUCAUCAUGAGCAUGAAGUUGUAUCUGAUAACUGCAGUGAGGCAAAUGUUGGAAACACAAACAUCACUGAUGACGUAGGGCUUGAAGCUGAGAAGAAGCCACAGAUGUUCAGUGUAAGCAGGGUGAACAAACUUUUGCAGAAACUAGAAGGAAAGUUAUUGUCAUAUAAGAUGUUUGCACGCGAUACCAAAGCAUCCAGAAACGAGUAAGAAUUAUGAUUCACUUGCUCAUCAGUAUUCAGAAGCUUCUCAUUUUAAGGUUAUAGCUUUGAGUCUUCCCUUGCAAUUCAAAUUAGCAUCAUUGUUGCCUUGUUGUUUCUGUGCCUCCAGUUUAUAUCAUUUAAAAACCAUGUGUGGUGUCUUUCAUUGGUUUGGUCACGAUCACUUUACUUGUUCCCUUCACCUCGUCAAGCAGUGGAGUCUCAAGAAGUAGUUUUAAAAAUAUACAUGUCCAUGGGUCAAUGCAUUUGUUCAGUUUGUGCAUAAUGUCUACUUUAUUGACUGAUCCUGAUAUUCUAGCACUAAAAGUAAAACCUAGCCUGAAAAAAAGGAAGCAAUUUUUGUUUAAAAAGAAAAGAAAAAGAGAAGCAUUUUUUUCUUCACGAUCAACCUGAACUGAGUUUAGAAUGACUUUAUUCUCCAUUAAUGAUACUAAGGGAAAGUUGGAAGAAUGUCAAUACACAAGGAAACAGGAUCUGGUAUGCGUGGAACUCUUUAACUGUGCACAUCUGGUUUUUAUCCACUUUUAUGUUUUAUUAUUAUUAUUAUUAUUUUCCAUUCAUAAUGCAAUGAAAAUUUGACGAGGGAAUAUUGCUUAAGUACAGCAUAAUGAGGUCGAUUUUUAUCUUCUCUCUAAUCAUUCCAAUCCAACUGGUUAAAGUAAAAUUACUGAUGGACAAGGUUUGAAUGUUAUCACAGUAUCUGGGUUCUUUCAAAUUAUACUUUCAACUUCAUACAUAAGGAUAAGCAUUUGCUAGUCAAAAUUCCCCUUAGUAAAGAUUGCCAAAACAGAAGAAGAAAGGAGAUCCAAUAGUAUUGGCUUAACUUAUCAAGAAGACGUUUCCAUCUGCUAACUGUAGCUGUUUGUCUGUUUCAGGGGUCCCCCAACAGAGUGUUUUGUCUUCCAUGCUAGAGCAAGAGAGUACAGAUUGCCAUGUUCAGUAUGUGUUUGCUUCUAGCAGAAUUCUUCUUUGUCUCCUCUUCUUUCCCAUCAAAUAUUCAUCUCUCAGGUUCACAUCUGGUUGCAGUAUGGAACUACAUUGCUUAGUUUCUGCAUCCAUAUAGGCAUGUGUGCCUAUAAGCAGAUACACAACUUAAACAGUGAAAUGAGUUAAUUAAUCUUUUUAAUAAGUUAUGUUCACUGACAGAAAUAGGAACAAUAUAUGCCAAAAGGGGGAAGCUAAAAAGAAAAAAAAGAACAAUAUAUGACUUUGUCUGUUUGACCAAAAGGAUCUCUGAGCUUGCAUUCGCUUGGUCAAUUGGAGCCUAAGUUUGCAUUAACCAACUGGAAAUUGCCAGGAUGUAUGGACAACUGUCGAAAUAUUUGUCUAUAAUUGAAAAUUUUCAAUUAUGAAGGCCUUGCCUGAACCGUCAGGUAGUAAAUGAUGGGGUGUGGAUCUUGUAGGUCUUGGAUUAUGUCAAAGAUUAGAGGAAAAUAAAUCUUCAAUAUUUGUGAGGUGUCUGCACUUUCUAACCCCCAGAAUUUUCAUGUAGCUUAAGUUUGAAUUGUCAUUGAAUGAUACGUUGCCGGAUAUUGCCCAAAAUAAUAAAGUGUCUUGCACCUUUUAGGUGCACAACGGCUUUUACCUUCUGUGUUUUUUGUUUGAAUACCAACCAAUUCAUGCUUCAAAAUUACAUCAGUUCAAGCUUCAAGUAUUACUUCUGAUUGUAGUGAUCUGACGGAUACUAUACCUACAUAUAUAUGUUUUCAAUUUUUCUUUUGGUCAAUACAUGUUAUGAAUUCGCACUAUGGUCUUUGUAGGAGCAUGAAAAAGGGAGACGGAUUAUGUGUAUUGAACUGAUUGCCAACAGAUUCUUACGCAGGGUAAUAGUUCUGUUGAUAUACUUGAUGCAAAAAAAAAAAUAAUAAUCUAUUUUUGGAAUUGUUGUUGUCAGUUUCUGGUUUCGAUUUGUUGCAAUAUGAGCAAAACUGAACCCCUUGACUUCCCUUGAACUCAUAUCAGAUUUAACAAACAGAAAGGAAAAUUGAGGUUUACCUUUUUCUGCAGAUGAUUCGGGUUCUCGUGGCAACCUCAAUAAGGGAAGCCGCUGCAGGUGCAGAUGAGGACGCAUUGAUAAAACUGAUGGAUGCAACAUGCAGACGUGCUACUGCUCCCCCGGCUCCACCUGAUGGUCUAUGCCUUGUUGAUGUUGGUUAUGAAGAAUUUGAUCCGCUAGAUUGCCUCAUCUCAAAGGAGUAAAUCCAUUUAGGAAAUUGACAUAGAUGCAGCUUCCUAAAUUUAGAUGAAUUUCAUAGAGGAGGCACAUCCAGAAAGUACCUUCAUGAUUUUGAUAGAAAGGCAAAUCAUUCACUCAUUCAGUGGACUUAAAAUUUCAUGUUUAUUAUGUAUCUUGCUGUACGGUUAAAUAUGUUAACACUUUUUGCUCUUGUUCAAUUGUCACAUGUACCUACUUGGUGGAGGAAUUUUGACAGCCAUGUUGAAAUUUGGCUGUGGCUUGUGAGAGCUAGUCCAUUUUAGUUCUUUGAUGCUGUCUGGAUAACCAGGUCAGUUAUCUAUGAUCUUGUUUUGUUCUAGCACUGUUAUGUUGAUGCCUCAUUGGGUUGUUUAUUAAAUGUCGAAGUUCUUUUUGUUAAAGAUGAGUGAUAACAAUAAUAGAUAAGAGAGAGGUGGGUAGCUGGGUCACCUCCUGCUAUUUUUGAGCUUUUGAACAAGGUGCUGGCGAGAUAGGUACUCAAAAAAAUUCACUUUCAAUAAGGAAUGAAACUAAAUUUAAAAAAGGGAAAAGAGAAAAGAAAAAGAUUAGAGAUAGGGAACGAUGACUGGCAAGGGUUUGAUGUUUCAACAAUGAGGUUAUAUGCUUGUGCACAGUGACGAUCAAUUCAAGUAACAGUUCUGGAUCACCUUCUGCUUAUUCAGAUCAAAUCCCAGAGUAAUGCUGAGAGGUGAUGUAUUUAGGCUUUGUUCAUAAGAAUCGUUGGAACGAGCCGAUUGCUAGCCACUGUGGUAAAGAAAUACUGUUGAUGUUUUUUUUUCCAUUUUAUUGUCUUUCCAUUUCGGUUCCGGUCUUCUCGUGUAAAAUCUGUGGGGUUGAACUUUCUGGUUCUGGGCUUCAGAUAUACAAAAAUAUCAUGGUUAUAGGCUUAUAGCACAUUAGGAUUAAAAGGCUUCUCACUUUGUCUGCAAAAGACAUUGCACAAUUGCUGUGCACCCCAAAAGCCAAUACUUAAUGGAGAUAGGUGAAAGACAAUGAAGGUUUGGCAUGCUAUGGUUGCCCCCUCUUAUUGAAACCGAGUGAAGGUAUAAGGAUAGUUGGCAAUCUUUUUAUCCUGCAAAACACUUUGAGAUAAUGUUAUCUGAUCAAGAACAAGUGGCACUAAUAUCCCUUAUGGUUUCAGGUAAAACAUGCAUCUGCAUAUCACUGUUUUUCACAGAGGUUAGCAGCUUCGCUUGCUAUCCUAGUACUGAGUCUUCUGCUGUCCUGAGUUUCAAAGUUUGUUAUAUUAGUUUAAUAAGUCUGUCAAAUUCAAAUGGACAACUGAGUUUGUGGGAAGUGUUUUGGCGCUCAAACCAGUCUAAGGGUUUAGAUCUUUUGUUAUGCCAACCCGUGACCAAAUGGUUUGAUGCUCAAGGCUCCAGCUUGGAUUUUAUGAUACAUUAUCCAAUACAAAGCUGGUCCAUGUGUGAUUCAAAGACUAGUCGCUAUCGGCUGUGUCAAGGUCCACUGAUGGACUGAGUAAGAGGGUUUCAAACCUCUUUGCUCCUUGUUUUGAAUCGUUCAUGUUUUAGGAAAGGUGUCUUUGUCUUAUUGAGGUUGCUUGUGUCAACUCUCCAUUUGGUUACAUCACUUUCAGUAUGGGGAACCAAACACUUCUGUCCAAACCCUUUCUGAAACAUGUUGAGGUCAGCUUGCAUUAUCUUUGAUGCCUUGUCUGCCUAUAUAUAUAUAUAUAUAUAUAUAUAUAUAUAUAUAUAUAGCUUUGGCUUUGCUCGAUGGUUGUUGAAAACUGUCUUAUUGCGUUUUCUUUGUUGAGUCUAGUUUUUAGCUUGCAUUGUUCAUGCUGCUCUAAGUCUUCUUCGUGACUGUAAACCUUAGAGCUUGAACUCAAAACUUCUUUCAUCAACUCAUAUCAUGUUGCAUACCAUGAGGGAUGUGUAGUGCAACCAACCCAAGAAGCGUUUAAGGUUGAAUCUGCUAGUGGUUAGCUGAAUUCACGAACAAGGCUUCUAAAAGUGUCCCAUGUUGUAAGAACUUAGAAACAAGAGAAGGAAUAGGUCUAGACUAGUUCGGGACUAGGAAUGAUAGCACUAUGGUAAUGUAUCACUAGAACUAUUAUUCUUGUAAGAAGUUACUUCAAGUUAGUGGAAAUUUUUGUCUCUCAAGAGUUAGAGACACGCAGUUUUUCUCCCUGCAUUCAGGGUUUCUGCGAGUAAAAAACAUCCUUGUGUUGUUUCUUUAUUUGCUGCAAUUUACUUUCUGCAAUAGCACAAGUCAUUGCUAUCCUCGGAUACAGAAGUCAACGAAAAUUCAAAAAAAGCAUAUUCACCCCCCCCCCUCUGGGACCUUUACCGAGAUUUCUGAAACACCAACAACUUAAAAUAGGUGAAAAGACACAAAGCUUAAGAGGCAAUCCGGAUUACUCUCUACCUGAAAAAUAAAAACGAAUUCGGUUGACUCUGUCAUCCUUUGCCACCCCUCAUUUCCUUUCCUCUCCAAUUUGACCCAUGUAAACAGCUUUUCCAACUUCUAUUCUUAGCUCCUUGUCUCUCUCACUCACUCUUUCCCUUUCUCUCUCUCUCUCUCUCUCUCUUCCAAUGCCAUCACAAAUUCCACCACUAUCAACAAACCCUCAAAGCUUUCUUCGUCACACGCACCCCGGACUCCAUUUUGCAGCGCAGGCCCCUCUUAAAGGGCGCACACGCUGCCCCUACGAGUGCGUGUACAACCUGAAACCUUAAACAUCUAUACGUACCCCAUUAAUAUGAAACGCAGCAAGAUGUCUCGCUGCGUGCGGUGCAGCGUGCAUUGGACAUUGUUUGCUCAAUGUUCUUUGCUUCUUCUCGUUCUGUUUCAUAUUAACGUCGCCUCCUCAGCCGCAGUAACCCCGCCACCGGACAUCGCUGACGUCCUCCUCAAGUUCAAGGAGUCACUCAAGGUUAGUGGUGAUGAUGCGCUGAAGAGUUGGGUGAAAAACACUCUUCCGUGCGGUACGAAUGCCAAAGCCAAAGCCAAAGAGGGGAAUUGGGCCGGCGUUCUUUGUGACAGGGGAAAGCUUUGGGGCUUGCUGCUGGACAAAAUGGGGUUAAGCGGCGACAUUAAUGUCACAGCACUCGCCGAGCUUCCAGACUUGAUAAGCGUAAGCAUCAUGAACAAUAACUUCGAGGGUACGAUGCCGGAGUGGAAUAAAGUUAGUUUGUUGAAAACGUUGUAUAUGUCUGAUAACAAAUUCUCCGGGGAGAUUCCGGCCGAUAGGUUCGAGGGAAUGAAGGCAUUGAAAAAGCUUCAUAUGGCGAAUAACCAGUUGUCGGGUGAGAUUCCAAAGUCGUUGACAUCCUUGAAAAGGCUGGCGGUGCUGACCCUUGACGGGAACAACUUUACAGGCAAAAUACCAGAUUUUGAACAUGCUAAUUUGAAAGAGUUUAAUGUCUCCAGAAACAACUUGGAGGGUGAGAUCCCACACAUCUUUAAGGCCUUGGAUCCAAACAACUUUCAAGGUGAGUCAUGCAUCUCUCUCACUAUAUCAGUUUAUCUAUCUAACAUCCAUUUGUACUUGUUUGUCUAUAACAAGUCUUGCAUGCAUGUUUCUUAAUUUACUAUUUGGUUCUUUUUCUCCGGGAGCUAGGGGAAAUGCGAGAGUGAAACUCAGAUGAAUAUGAGGGUUGAUGUAGGAAUCUUGAAAACUAAGAAGAAAGAUCACUGCUCAAAAGAUUAUAUAUAAUAGACUGAAGAUUAGUUUCUGGAUCGAUUCUCGGUUUAUAUCAGAAACUACGUAUAAUGAUCAUUUCAUAUGUAAAAGCAAAACACAUUAUCAUUACAUAACUUAGAGGGAGAUUAUUCAAUUUCUACUUAGUGUGGGAAAUUAAGACCCCCCUUUAAGCCAUGCAUACACAUGCAGUGCAUUCGAUCGCAACAAAUUAAAGCCUUGAAGUCACGUACUAACAGUCUAGUGUUAACUGCCUGAACGAGCAGGGAAUAAAGAUCUGUGUGGAGCUCCUUUACAUCCAUGCUCAGCUCCGACCAAACACGUUAAUACAGCGAAGCCCAAUGGUGCUCACACCGCCCUGAUUGUGAUUAUGAGUCUCAUAGCAGUCAUAUCCAUCUGUGCGGCAAUCUUCUUCGUCGUCGUUAGACGUCGCAACAAAGAAGCCGAAUACUUAUCAUCAAAUAUAGAGUCUCCACCGGCAUCAUCGGUCCAGAACAGAUCAGUAGCUGUAGCUCCGAAAGAACCAGAACCAGACCAAGUUAGCCAAACAUCAGAGCACUCGACUAAAAGCGAAAGAGCAGCAGCAGCAGGAAGUAGUGGCGGGAAGAAGGGUGAUAGCUUGAAGCUCUCAUUCGUCCGAGACGACAGGCAAAGGUUUGAUAUGCAAGACUUGCUUAAAGCCUCGGCCGAGGUGUUGGGAAGCGGCAGCUUUGGGUCUUCUUACAAGGCGGCGCUGCUGACUGGACCGGUGAUGGUUGUGAAGAGGUAUAAGCAAAUGAACAGUGUGGGAAGAGAGGAGUUCCAAGAGCAUAUGAGGAGACUAGGGAGAUUAGGACACCCUAAUUUGCUUCCACUUGUGGCUUAUUACUAUAAGAAAGAAGAGAAGCUCUUGAUCACCGACCAUGUUGCCAAGGGCAGCUUGGCUGUUCAUCUUCAUGGUAACUUCAUCUUCUUAUAUCUAAUAUCAUAUACAAUACGUGCAUUGCAUGCAUGAUCAUUUUCUCUAGGGUAUAAACUUCAUUGCUUCUUCUUCUGUUUUGUUAUCUCUCAGGACACCAGAACCAAGAUCAACCAAGCCUUGACUGGCCAAAACGUUUGAAGAUUGUGAAAGGCGUAGCACAAGGGUUGAAGUACCUCUACAAUGAGCUGCCGAGCCUAAUCACACCCCAUGGCCACCUAAAAUCCUCGAACGUUCUUCUCAGCGAAACCUACGAACCCCUCAUCACCGACUACGGCCUAAUCCCCAUAGUGAAUCCAGAGCAUGCUCAAACCCUAAUGGUGGCAUACAAGUCCCCAGAGUACGUCGCAACGAAGCGGAUCACAAAGAAGACCGAUGUAUGGAGCCUCGGUGUGCUCAUCUUGGAGAUCCUAACAGGGAAGUUGCCAACCAACUUUCUGCAACAUGGUAAGGGAAGUGAGGAGGACCUGGCGAGCUGGGUGAACUCGGUGCCUAAAGAGGAGUGGUUCACGCAGGUGUUCGAUAGGGAAAUGAAUGCAAGCAAGAACUGCGAGGGGGAGAUGCUGAAGCUCUUGAAGCUUGGGUUGGAAUGUUGCGAAGGUGAUGUGGAGAAGAGGUGGGAUUUGAAGGAGGCUGUUGGGAGGAUUGAAGAGUUGAAAGAAGUUGGUAAUAGUGGUGGUGGUGGCGGUAGCGGCGGCAGUCCGGAUGUGGAUUUUCUCUCUUCUUCCACUAGUGAAGUUGACAUCAUGAAGUUGGCGGUGUGAUGAUGAUGAUAAAAUCUUCUAUCUCUCCUUAUUAGACUCUGGAAGAUCAAUACGUUUUGAUUAAGUGAACGAAAACUUACUUUUUUGUAUCCAUCUGAGACGCCCCGUAAAACCUAGCCUAGGCAUGAUGAGCAGAUAUGCAAAUGUAUGAUUUGGCUUUAUAAAGUAAGCUAGGCUUCUGGACGAGCAUGUCUUAAGUAAGAUAUCAUAACGUAAUCGAUUAAUUCUACUCACCAUGGAUUAUGCCAAAAAAUUCUAAAAUCUAUUACGAACACGUUCAAAAUCCGACCUCAGGUUCAAAGCACGGAUAAAUAUUGUAGUAUAUAUGUUCUUUUGCUCAAUAUGCUAAAGUUUUGUUCCCGCAGAGGCUCAGACCUAGCUCACAGAUAUACAAAUCUAUAUGUGUUAUUUCUGAUGAUCUUAUUCGAGUUAUGUAUUAUGUUUACGUACAUGCUUCCCUCUUGUUUAUGCAAUAUGCAUUACACUGCUGCAAUGAUAUAUUCCCCCUUCCGUAUUUCCCACGUAAUCCACGUUCGAAGAAUUGAAAGAAAUCAAGAAAUUGGUGUUAAAAAGAAAAAUGAAAUUGAAUAUCAAGUAAAAUAACAUAAUAAACAAACUUCAUCAAAUUGAUACAUGAGAUCAUGAAGGUAUGCUAAACAAAUAAAAAAAUAAUGACAAAAAUAUGGAACGCAAAACUAACCAAACCUUAAAAGUUGCCUACAGUGCUGAUGCAGCUAGCUAUAUACUAUUACAUAAGCAAAAACUCAAAACCUAAAUCUAGAAAAAAGCUAGCACAGAAAGGAAGACAGCCAAAGCCAAGGCAAGCUUUGGAGCAUUAGUGGUCGUAGCCUCUGAAUGUGGUGGCCUCUCUUGAGGAUGAGGAGUUGAAGGAGAUGGUGCCGGGCUCGGAUUUGAAGGAGAUGACAAUAUAGAAGGUGACUGGCUUGGUGUUGAUGAAGGAGAAGAGAAUGCAAAAGGUGCUGGGCUUGGAGUUAACGGAGUAGACAAUGCAGACGGUGUCGGGCUUGGAGUUGAUGAAGGAGAAGACGAUGGUGCCGGGCUCGGAGUUGAAGGCGAAGCCAAUCCAGAAGGGGUUGGGCUCGGAGAGGAGACUGGACUGUCAGCUGGUGUAGGAAGGCUGCUGACCACAACCUCGACCUUCUGUCCUACGUUACAAUGGCCAGGAAUACCACAGAGGAAGUAAUAGUGUCCAGGCCUUUCAAGUGUGAUGCUAUCUGAGCCGGAAUCAUAAGCUGCGAUGGGAGAGUUGGGGUCGCAAGAUUCGAAACCUUGCUUGGUAACUUCAAUGACAUUGUGGUAAGGACUGUAAGAAAACAAAAGAGUAUCGCCAACGUGAAACUCUUUCGAGGAGGACCACUGGUGGUAGUCAGUUCCUAUUAUCCAACCAUCCGGGCCGCCCACUUCAUAAGCAGCACCGGCAGCGGCACCGGAGCAAGUACCACACAGAGCCAUGGCCACCAAAAGGACUAGCAUGCUGCUUCUGAAAGCCAUAGCAAAAAUCAAUUAUCAAUAUUAGGGAGAAAGAGCAACCGAUCUGAAUGAACAAAUGCUAAGCGCUUAGAAUUGUGAGUAAUUUUAUCUUGAUUCUCGUUGUAUAUAUAAUGAGUAUUGUUUAUAUGUCCAAAAGGGAAACGGAUUGGAUUCCAUGUCAUAUUUGUAUUUACACUCGAAGGACUCGAAUUAGCCUCUGCUUAGGUAAAGGUUUUUCUAUUCAAGUGGGCAUGGAACUCCAAAUCCCACAUGAUUUGUGAUUAAUAUGGUUGAUGACAAUACUCAGUUUUUCUAUUUUUUUUAAUUUUAGAAUGUUGUCAAUUAAUCGGUAAUUUAUUUUUUGUUGUUGGAAUUAAUCGGUAAUUUAAGUGUAAAGUUUUUGUUUUUUUUUGUUUUAGAUGUGUUAUGAAACUCACAAGUAUCACAACCGAAAAAAGAAGAAAUCCAUCCAGAACGAAUUAUCAGCCAUGGAACCAUCUUUCAAAUACUUCGGUCUGUGGGUGUGUUAGCUAGUCAAUGUAUUAUAGUUUAUAAGUUAAUUAGGUAGAAAUUGUUUGACAUCAAUUUUCUCAUGGAGGUUUGAAAAUUGAUGUUGGUGGACUUGGUUAAUAUUAGGAUUAUAAUGUAGUUUAACUUCCCGCUAAAAACAUGGUGCGAAAAGGGUUAGCUCACAACCGACUUAAUGUUUGUUUGAAUCAACUUCUAUUAGUUUUCACUAAGAUUUACGUAUGGUCCUUGUUGAGCAGUUUAAGAACAGAAGGGGUUUUAAUUUCAGUAUGCUGUUUCAAAAUUCUAGAGGUCUUUAACUUUAAAGUUCUCCUAUGCCUCUGCAUGUUAAUUUGGAUCAAAGAAUACCAUGUUUUCUGUAGACUCAAUUAACUGGAGCGAAAUAAGAGGAGGGGGGAGGGGGGAGAGAGUAAUGGGGAAUUCGAAUAGCAGCAAUAGUAGAGAAAUUAUAACAAAAUAUAAAGGGGGGACAAUAGCAGUUGGAGUAUCAGCAGACAAAACCAGCCAGAAUGCUUUGAAAUGGGCUAUUGAUUAUCUUGUCACUCCUCCAACAAAUGAUGUUGUUCUAAAGCUCAUACAUGUUGCUCAAAAAUCACCAUCUCCUAGAGUCUCCCCUGGUAACUCUUUCUGCAUUUGUCUUGAAAGGGCCAGUAUCUUAUAGUAUCGAUAAUUCGACAUGCUAAACCUAACAAGCACGACGAUCGUAAACAUUUGCUUUGAUGGUGAUGUAGGGAACGGUGAAGCUUUUGAUCGUAUUGAGGAAAUGUUACUUCCAUUUCGUUGCUAUUGUACCCGUAAACGAGUGAGUUUUCUCAACUUUUGUUUCUUGUAACUUGCACUGGAAGAUAUCGAAGCCUUGAUCAUUUGUGAAUAAGAAGUUGUUGAAAUACUUCAACUUGUAAAUUGAUAUCUGCAAUGUCAGGUACCAUUUGAGAUUGUUAUACUUGAGGAUGAUGAUGUAGCCGAGGCACUGGUUGAUUACAUUUCAUGCCAUGGCAUUGAGAAUAUUAUUUUCGGUACUUCGUCCAGGAAUGGGUUUUCCAAGAGGUAUAGCUUGAGCUACCAAUCGCUUUGAUCAUGUCCAUUUGGUGCUUUAUCAUAUUGUAUCUGUUUGGUCGAACUAAUGAACUUUUUUCCAUUUCUUUUUUCUGGAUCUGCAGACUAUUCAAGACAUCAGAUGUUCCAAGUACUGUGCAAAAGUUGGCAGCUGAUUUCUGCAAUGUAUUUACUAUCUGCAAAGGAAAGAUAUGGGCAGUGCGGGCAGCACGCCACCGACUGCCGGCCCUGCCGGCCCUCCCAGCAGAAUUUACUUACAUGUGAGCAUUAUAAUUGCACAACUAUUUAAGUUAAAUCAUGUCUGCAUCUGCGCUCUUAAUAAGACUAGGUUUAUAAUGAUUCUGAUGCAUGUCAUUCUCCAGAGGCAGAGCUGCAAGUAGAAAAUCAUACGACGAGGUCUCAUUGCAAGAACCGGAUAUGGACACUGGCCUCUCUUUUGUUGGCUCAGAAAGACGAAGUACUGAUAGCAUGUUGUACGCAUUCUACGAAAACUUUGGGCAAGCUGAAUUUACCCCGAUCUCUUCAAUGUCCCCGGAUGUGGACAUCACUGUAUCAGCAUCAGAAUUAGAUUUCGGGAGUUUCGAUAGCUUUAACACUAUGCAUGAAAUGCCAUCAAUGGCGCAGCACAAUAACUCAGGAAAUCCAUUCUUGUCGCAGAAAGUACUGGUGAGAGUUGCACAUUAUUUGAACAAAAGAAAUACAUAGACAGGUAUCAAGAUUACUAGACAAUCAAAAAGAUAUGGACAGAAAAAGAAAAGAAAAUUUGAAAUGUAGGUGAGAAAAAGAUCGACUUGUUUUAAAACUCUGUACUUAUUGCAGGAAGAAAUGGAAGAAGAGAUGAAAAGCCUUAGAAUGGAGCUGAAGCAAACGAUAGAGAUGUACCAUGGAGCCCGCAAUGAAGCACUGAAAGCAAAACAGAAGGUACUAACUAGGUAGAACAUUCAAUCUUAACAUAGACUCUACUUAGAUGAAUCUAAAUAUUGUGCAAGAGUUCUGGUGUACAAAUUGUUUCCUUUCUUUACGAUUUUAGUAGUCUAUAAGUUAUUAUAUUCCCUAUCAUACUUUUUUAUGAAUCAUCUGUAACACUAGUGCAAUCAUCUUAUUCAUUCUAUAUAGGCUGCUGAGCUCCAAGAGGAGAAAAUGAAAGAAGAACAGAGACUAGAGGAAGCACUACUCACUUUAGAAGCAACUGUAGCAGCUUUGAAGAACGAACAAGAGAAGUGCAAGGCAGCAAUGUUGGCAGCAGAAGCAUCUCAAACUCUUUUUGGGGAAGAGGUGCAAACGAGAGUGAGGGCUGACAAGAUGGAGGAGAACAAGGUUUUGGAUACUCUUGGCCAGUCCUCUCUAGCUUUUAAAUACCAAAGCUUAUUUCAUAUCCUAGUUGCGUUGUUUUUAUUUUGUGUACUCCUCAAUCUUUUAGUGCGCUUGUUUGUACAUGUUAUAAUGGCUGUUUAGCCUUUUAUACUAUUUCAUUUGCUUUAUUUUCCUUCGUCUAUAUUGAAGGAAUUAUUAGUACUCUAGUUAGGUAAUCUUUUAGAUAUGCAGGGAUUCCUGCAUUACCCAGCUCCCAGCAAUGACAAGGAAAUGAAUGAUAUUAAAGCAUUUUAAAAUGACGUACUCCACCGGUGUGAUGUUAGUCUCUUUCUUUCCACUCAAAACUAAGAGAAAAAAGAUACCAGAAUGACGGGGUUUGAUAUCUCAAAACAGCAGCAUAAACUCGCCUACAUCGCUCACAAUCGGCUCUCUUCAAUCCCAGUAAAGAAACUAUCUAAAUCCAUAAAACCAAUGAAAAGCUCAGAAACAGUUCAGACAAGAAUUUGGCAAUCCUAGAAGGCUUCUAAUGUAAUGUAUCAGCAGUCGAAUCUAGCUGACUAGGAGCACCGUGCCAACAUAGGAAGAUUUCUUUUUGAGGCCAAAAAUGAUGAGAAUGCAUUAUGUUCGAUUUAUAUGCAUAAUGGAUUGCCACUUUUGUAUCGAAUGCUACAUUUGGUUACAUUAGAGGGGAAUCGAACACCUAAUAUAACUUGCCCUGACCGCGCAUGCAAACUCAUAUAACUGCAUUUCCACAGCUAGGAGAGGUAGACAGAGUGUGAAAGGGAGCAAGAGCAAGAGAAAAAGUGAGAAGGAGGACCUGCCAUUUAGUAGUUCCAAGAGUUGUGUGAAGAUCCCUGCCGAGUUCCUCCGGAUUUCACAUACUGGAACCGUCUUUCUUGGCAUGAAUCCAUGUUCUAUAUGUUGAUUCCUUCCCUCAAAACUACAUCAACAAAAACACUAACAAAUCAGAAACAACCCAAAACCAAGCUGAAUGCAAUUCUCUGCAGCCGUUACUCAUUGCACUACAAAGAACAGCUGCUCCCGAAAACCCCCAAUUCCAUUUUACUAGCUAAGAUAGUGUAAAUGAACACCACAAACUCGACAGAACUAUUUCAACAAAUGGCAGGAGCUGAUGACAUUUAGGUUUAAUAUGUAAAUCACAUAAUUUCAAUUAACUGGAAAAUUUGAUGUAGCUAAAACAACAAAUGAUCUUCAAUUCACAUAGAACCAGACUAACAAAACCACAAUAAAAUUCUUCAAUGGCAAUCUAUUUUAAACUGGUAACAACAAUAGGCACAAACUUGUACUUUACACAACAAGCAAUCUUCCAUUCCAAAACCACCACCAUCAGGGCACAAUCUUGUAAGCUUUCAUCUUAUCAAUCCAAGUAACCAAUGAGUUCCUGGAGUUCCUAAACCCAACAAACCCAUGUUCUUUACUCUUGUUCAUACAACCAAACAUACUUUCCCCACUGAGCACAGCAUCCACAAACCACCACACCCCAACCUCCUCCAGCUUUGUCGGCACCAGCUGAUUCUCCUUUACUAUCUCUUCCCACACUCCACUCUUCCCCUCCAUCAACUUCUGCAAGCCCACCACCUCCCCCUCCUCCUCAAACCCGAACUCCUCUAUCCCGAAAUUCUCAGCCAACACCUUCCAGAAUUGCUUCCACUUGAAAACAUCCCCAUUGUUGAUAUUAAAGGCCUCAUUUCGAGCAUAAGGAUCCACCGCGGCCCAUAUAUGCUGCUCCGCUAUCAAAUCCGCAUCCGAAGCAGUGGACAAGCAAUUCCACGCCGCUUUGGUCCCGGGAAACCUCAGCAGCACACCCUCGUGUUUGCAUAUAGCAGCAUACACACACAGACUCCCCACAAUGUUCAUCAUGCUAUAAGGCGAAAACCCGAAAAUGGUGUCCGGCCGGUGCACAGACCACGUCAGCUCCUCUCUCUUCUCCACCUCUUCGAAAAGCAGAUCCUCCUGCGUGUAGUAGAAAUUCGGCACAUCCAACCGGGGCAGGUCCUCCGUGAACGGCGAAUCGUGCGGCUGGAUCUUCCCCCACGAUUCGAACGACCCGAUGUAGUGCUUCGCUCCAGUCUGGAGGCAUAUGUGCUUCAGAUUGGGCGCGUUCGGAAUCACGGAGCCGAGGACGUUGCGGAGCAUGGCGGCGUUGGCCUCGCAAUUCUCGGCCUCGGUGGAUCGGUUGGUCCAGGUGACGUAGAAGAUGUGAGUGACGUCGGUCAACGGCGAGAGCUUCCCCUUGGCGUCGUCGGCGUCGGAGACGUCGCACUGGAUAUACUCGACGGGGUGAUCGGCGUUCCAGUUGGGGCGGGGGCGGCGGGCGACGCCGUAGACCUUCCAUGGACCGCCGGGGGUGUCGGAGAGGGGGAGGAUUUCGGCGAGGCUGUUGCCGACUAUUCCGGUCACGCCGAUCACUAACCCAACGCUCUGCGGUGUUCGCGGCCCCUCGUCUUCUACUAAUUUUUUCUGCAAAAUAAAUCAUCAAAAAGAAAACGUUAUAUCAACAAUGAUGUUUAAACAAAGAGAUAAGGAUUAGGAUGGUCACCUUGGCAGCGCCAACGGCUCCGGCCCACCACCAGCUCAUGUCGUCGGAGAAGAAGAGCCUACAGAGGAGGAGGAGGAGGAGGAAGCAAAUGAGUGUAAGGGAGUGAGGGGCUGAGGAAGGCCGGCAGAUGAAAAAUAUAAAGGGCAAUCUGAAUCCAACGGUCGGUCGUUUUUGUUUCAAUUUGCCAACAAACAGCAAUGAACUUUGGGCUUCGAUUCAUGAUUCAUGAGUCUCAUCUUCAUUUCAUUUUCAACCCCACGUCAUGGGUCACGUCACACAGGCCAUUCCAGAGUCCAGACAAAGUUUCUAUAAUAAUUCACAGUUUCUACAGUAAUCCAAGGAAAGGUUGUAAUAAUUGAGUAUGAACGUCGUUAUCAAACCUAUCAAGUUAUACAUCCCAAUGAUCCCAUGGCCCAUUUUUCUCUUCACAAUUUUACGUAUUUUGGCUUUUUAUUUUGCUUCUUACCAUAGUAACACUUGUUUUUGUUUUUAAUAGUCUAAAUUAACUCGAUAGGGUAAUAUUGGCAAAACACAAUCUAGUGAAGCUUUUGGACGCCUGACUUACUCCGAGUUCCUUUGGUCAUCACAGAAUCACAGAGGACACAGUAUCUAACCCAAUAGCCAGCUAGAUAACAUUCAAAUCAAGUAAGCCCUUGAUCCCUUGUACACUGAUGUUUUGUGAGAGAUGAGUGCAGAGAGUGAUGCUAUAAACAAUUGAUCAUGGAACUGUCAUAAAAUUUAAUCAUCAUCGUGUUCUUUCCCCUUUCCAUCUCCUAAUUUCAGCAAUCUCAAUUUCUCGUCAUAACUAGUCAUCACCAAAACAAGAAAAGUAAGGACGUCCUCACCCUGGACAUUGAAACCGUAGUACUUAGCAGUCAAAGAUGUCUAAGGCUCACAUGCAAGCUGUAAUGGAAGACAUAUAUUCUGCUAUUGUGAUUUUUCAUUUAAAGAUGUCUGUCACUAUGGUCUCAGACUAAAUCAAGCACUUCAUGUAUCUGGAUAUUGUUACAGAAUUCACCUAGGUACUCCCUAGACGAAGCUUAAUGAAAUGCCUUAAAAGGCUCUGAAGGCCUAGAUAUUUGUGUCUCUCUGUGUUAAACAAGAAUAAUGAGAGGACUAACCCGAUGUAAACGAUUCAGGUCGCCAUUCACAAGAGGAAAAGCUUCAAUCAACAAAUCAUAUGAGCUCUCAACCGAAACUGAUAUAUCGUUUGUCAGUAGUGAAAGACCAAGCACAGAUUGCAUGUUUCCUGCUUUCCCUGAGAGUCCACAAUCAGGACCUCGACUUUCAGUCAGCUCAUAUGUGGACAACAGAAGGUCAUUUUAUCAGGAGACAAGUUUCUUGACAUGAGCUCUUCACAAUGUGAAAUCUCAUCAUCCUCAAAUGGAAAUGGAAAUUCAUGGUCAUCACAGAGUUUGGUAAGACAUGUUCCAGCAUAUAGACUGGGAAGCACCAAUACAAGUUCGAUAAUGCUUCCAACCAUAGACUUUUUUUUUUCUAACGGUAUCAAACCUGCCAAACGGCAAAGGUGAAUUGAUAACUCUUUAAGUAAACUUGGGGAGCACACUUAACUUUACUAACAAGACCCAAACUCCUUUCAAGGUUGUAAAUAAAAGAGUUCACUAAGUCAGCAUAUCUGCUUAAUCUUGGAAUUCCCUAAAAUACAUCUACAUACACUGGACUGGGGAAUGUAUUGUGCUGCUGUUGCUAGGCUGUUAUGGUUCUGAUAUCUGUUGUGGAACUAUUAAUCUAUUGGUUGAGAAUUUUAGUUUUUCUAUCUGUACUGCUUUGCUGGGUAAUAAACAUUCAUAAAUAUCCAAAAAGAGAUAUCUUCUUUUACAAGGACAUAUGAUGCUUGUGACAUUAAUACUACUUUGCAUUUCAUACUAGCAUGAGAGGCAGAAGGACAUAUGGUUAAAGUAAUGCUCCGGUGAUCUGUACCUAAAAUCUCUGCCAUCUUACAUGAUAAAGUCUUCCAGGUAACACUAUUGUGAAUAGCUUAAAGUACUAUGAUAUGGAGCAUAAUUAUUUGAAGUUAAAUAAACCACUUUAUUUUCUUACACUAUAUUUUCCAAACUAGGAGCUUCCUCAGGCAUUACCAAGAAAUAGUUCACAAUCAAAUGUUUUUGAAAUAUUUCAUCUAUACAUAGCAAUUAGAUUACGUAAGGUCUCACAGAAUUUUAUAUGAAGCAUAGAAACGCAUCAAAACCUAGUUGAUGGGAACAGACACUAACUGAAUUAUUCAGAAAGAAACUACAGUAACAGCAAUGGGAACAGACACUAACUGAAUUAUUCAGAAAGAAACUACAGUAAACAGCAAU